ACAGUCCGUGUGUGCUUCUUGUAGAUCUGCGCUGCUGUAUGGAGACAGCACUGGAGCGCUAAUGGAAAAGUCAGUGCGCGGAUUUGGUUUUUAGUGGCGCGCCGACACGCCCCCUUGAGUCGGGACGGACGUCACGCCGCGCCUCUACGUCAGCAAGAGAGGGACGAUACCUUCCCAGUUCACUGUUGGAUUUCUGCGCCAGUCUGAGGUUAUGUAUUCACCCUGUGUUGUAUCGUGCCCUCUUAAUGACGUCACAACACCAGUGUAAUAAUGCGUUACUGUUACAGCACGAUCAAUUAGUGAAAGGUGGUGAUGUUGCUGCUGCCACGGACCUAUUUCACAUCAUAGUAACACAUCACAUUUCUACUUCCAGCCGAUUAGGAGCAUCACCAACCUCAUCACCUCUUGGUUGUUUUGCCCCCAGGACCACAUCGCAGCCCCCUCAUCCACCCCCACCAUGCCCAGCACAUCAAAUUCAUCACCGCAUUGCCCCCGCCUUCUAUGACGCAUGAGUCAUGUGCCUUCUGUGUGGGGUAAAUCGUGAAUGAAACCGAGGACGAAUAAAAGCGCAGGCACAGAGAGACAGAAUGAAGACUAAUGAAGCGAAAUACACAAUCCAUAAGCACAAAACAAAAUACUACUUGCAGAAAUACUAGCACAAUCCGGAUCCUGCUUUAUAGGUACUAUCACAAUGAUUUCUUGCUUUGAUUACUGACAAAACUGAGUAAGCCAGUGGUAACUCAUACUAGACUGGUUCAAGCACCACCACUGCCAGGUUGCCACUGUUGGGUCCUUAGGCAACUUUAACUGCUUGACUUGUAUGCAGUCACAAUUGUACGUCACUUUGGA